rnacentral:rRNA from 1 species
AUGGUUAAGUUAGAAAGGGCGCACGGUGAAUGCCUUGGCACUAGGAGCCGAUGAAGGACGGGACUAACACCGAUAUGCUUCGGGGAGCUGUAAGUGAGCUUUGAUCCGGAGAUUUCCGAAUGGGGAAACCCACUGUUCGUAAUGGAACAGUAUCUUUAUCUGAAUACAUAGGAUAUUGAAGGCAGACCCGGGGAACUGAAACAUCUAAGUACCCGGAGGAAGAGAAAGCAAAUGCGAUUUCCUGAGUAGCGGCGAGCGAAACGGAAUUAGCCCAAACCAAGAGGCUUGCCUCUUGGGGUUGUAGGACACUCUAUACGGAGUUACAAAGGAACGAAGUAAAUGAAGCGACCUGGAAAGGUCCGUCAAAGAAGGUAACAACCCUGUAGUUGAAACUUCGUUCCCUCUUGAGUGGAUCCUGAGUACGGCGGAACACGUGAAAUUCCGUCGGAAGCUGGGAGGACCAUCUCCCAAGGCUAAAUACUACCUAGUGACCGAUAGUGAACCAGUACCGUGAGGGAAAGGUGAAAAGCACCCCGGAAGGGGGAGUGAAAGAGAUCCUGAAACCGUGUGCCUACAAGUAGUCAGAGCCCGUUAAUGGGUGAUGGCGUGCCUUUGUAGAAUGAACCGGCGAGUUACGAUCCCAUGCAAGGUUAAGCUGAUAAGGCGGAGCCGUAGCGAAAGCGAGUCUGAAUAGGGCGUUUAGUAUGUGGUUGUAGACCCGAAACCAGGUGAUCUACCCAUGUCCAGGGUGAAGUUCAGGUAACACUGAAUGGAGGCCCGAACCCACGCACGUUGAAAAGUGCGGGGAUGAGGUGUGGGUAGCGGAGAAAUUCCAAUCGAACCUGGAGAUAGCUGGUUCUCUCCGAAAUAGCUUUAGGGCUAGCCUCAUGUUGUGAGAGUCUUGGAGGUAGAGCACUGAUUGGACUAGGGGCCCCCAACGGGUUACCGAAUUCAGUCAAACUCCGAAUGCCAAAGACUUAUCCAUGGGAGUCAGACUGCGAGUGAUAAGAUCCGUAGUCAAAAGGGAAACAGCCCAGACCACCAGCUAAGGUCCCCAAGUAUACGUUAAGUGGAAAAGGAUGUGGAGUUGCUUAGACAACCAGGAUGUUGGCUUAGAAGCAGCCACCAUUUAAAGAGUGCGUAAUAGCUCACUGGUCGAGUGACUCUGCGCCGAAAAUGUACCGGGGCUAAACGUAUCACCGAAGCUGUGGAUUGACAUCUUUGAUGUCAGUGGUAGGAGAGCGUUCUAAGUGCUGUGAAGUCAGACCGUAAGGACUGGUGGAGCGCUUAGAAGUGAGAAUGCCGGUAUGAGUAGCGAAAGACAAGUGAGAAUCUUGUCCACCGAAUGCCUAAGGUUUCCUGAGGAAGGCUCGUCCGCUCAGGGUUAGUCGGGACCUAAGCCGAGGCUGAAAAGCGUAGGCGAUGGCCAACAGGUUGAUAUUCCUGUACCACCUCCCCGCCGUUUGAGUAAUGGGGGGACGCAGUAGGAUAGGGUAAGCGCGCUGCUGGAUAUGCGCGUUCAAGCAGUUAGGCUGAUGAGUAGGCAAAUCCGCUCAUCAUAAAGGCUGAGCUGUGAUGACGAGGGAAUUAUAGUACCGAAGUUCCUGAUUCCACACUGCCAAGAAAAGCCUCUAGCGAGGCGGGAGGUGCCCGUACCGCAAACCGACACAGGUAGGCGAGGAGAGAAUCCUAAGGUGAUCGAGAGAACUCUCGUUAAGGAACUCGGCAAAAUGACCCCGUAACUUCGGGAGAAGGGGUGCUCUGGUAGGGUGUAUAGCCCGAGAGAGCCGCAGUGAAUAGGCCCAGGCGACUGUUUAGCAAAAACACAGGUCUCUGCGAAGCCGCAAGGCGAAGUAUAGGGGCUGACGCCUGCCCGGUGCUGGAAGGUUAAGAGGAGGGGUUAUCCUUUGGGAGAAGCUCUGAAUCGAAGCCCCAGUAAACGGCGGCCGUAACUAUAACGGUCCUAAGGUAGCGAAAUUCCUUGUCGGGUAAGUUCCGACCCGCACGAAAGGCGUAACGAUCUGGGCACUGUCUCAACGAGAGACUCGGUGAAAUUAUAGUACCUGUGAAGAUGCAGGUUACCCGCGACAGGACGGAAAGACCCCGUGGAGCUUUACUGUAGCCUGAUAUUGAAUUUUGGUACAGCUUGUACAGGAUAGGUAGGAGCCUGAGAAGCCGGAGCGCUAGCUUCGGUGGAGGCGUCGGUGGGAUACUACCCUGGCUGUAUUGAAAUUCUAACCCGCGGCCCUGAUCGGGCCGGGAGACAGUGUCAGGUGGGCAGUUUGACUGGGGCGGUCGCCUCCUAAAAUGUAACGGAGGCGCCCAAAGGUUCCCUCAGAAUGGUUGGAAAUCAUUCGUAGAGUGUAAAGGCACAAGGGAGCUUGACUGCGAGACCUACAAGUCGAGCAGGGACGAAAGUCGGGCUUAGUGAUCCGGUGGUUCCGCAUGGAAGGGCCAUCGCUCAACGGAUAAAAGCUACCCCGGGGAUAACAGGCUUAUCUCCCCCAAGAGUCCACAUCGACGGGGAGGUUUGGCACCUCGAUGUCGGCUCAUCGCAUCCUGGGGCUGUAGUCGGUCCCAAGGGUUGGGCUGUUCGCCCAUUAAAGCGGUACGCGAGCUGGGUUCAGAACGUCGUGAGACAGUUCGGUCCCUAUCCGUCGUGGGCGUAGGAAAUUUGAGAGGAGCUGUCCUUAGUACGAGAGGACCGGGAUGGACACACCGCUGGUGUACCAGUUGUCUUGCCAAAGGCAUCGCUGGGUAGCUAUGUGUGGACGGGAUAAGUGCUGAAAGCAUCUAAGCAUGAAGCCCCCCUCAAGAUGAGAUUUCCCAUAGCGCAAGCUAGUAAGAUCCCUGAAAGAUGAUCAGGUUGAUAGGUCAGAGGUGGAAGCAUGGCGACAUGUGUAGCUGACUGAUACUAAUCGAUCGAGGACUUAACCAAA